AACGAACGCUGGCGGCAGGCUUAACACAUGCAAGUCGAACGCCCCGCAAGGGGAGUGGCAGACGGGUGAGUAACACGUGGGAACGUACCCUAAGGUUCGGAAUAUUCUCGGGAGACUGAGAGCAAUACCGAAUGUGUCCGCAAGGAGAAAGAUUUAUCGCCUUAGGAUCGGCCCGCGUCGGAUUAGCUAGUUGGUGGGGUAAAAGCCUACCAAGGCGACGAUCCGUAGCUGGUCUGAGAGGACGACCAGCCACACUGGGACUGAGACACGGCCCAGACUCCUACGGGAGGCAGCAGUGGGGAAUCUUGGACAAUGGGCGCAAGCCUGAUCCAGCCAUGCCGCGUGGAUGAUGAAGGCCCUAGGGUUGUAAAAUCCUUUCGUUGGGGACGAUAAUGACGGUACCCAAAGAAGAAGCUCCGGCUAACUUCGUGCCAGCCGCCGCCGUAACAC
rnacentral:rRNA from 1 species